rnacentral:rRNA from 1 species
AUGGACGGAGCUCCUGCCACUUCAUCGUCCGUAGAUCAUGACACCACAGAUGUGGGAGAGGCAGGUCAAAACACUGAUCACGAUUACAGCAAAAGGUUAAAACCAGAGAUAGGAAUGGAAUUUGAGAAUGAUGAUAUAGCAUAUGAGUUUUAUAAUGCAUAUGCAGGACAUGUUGGUUUCAGUGUCCGGAAAUUUUGGCAUGAUAAAUCCUCAACGAAUGUUAUUCGAACAAAGAAAUUUAUAUGCUCAAAGGCAGGUUUCAAGGACAAGAGCAAGGAACAAUGCCAGCGGAAGCGAGCAGAUACAAGAGUUGGGUGUAUGGCAGAGAUGACCAUCAAAAUAAGUGGUAAUGGAAAGUAUGUUGUAAGCAGCUUUGAGGAUGCUCACAAUCAUGAACUCGUAACUCCAAGCAAAGCCCAUCUACUGCGAUCCCAAAGAAGAAUUAAAGAAGCUCAGAAGGCCCAGAUUGACAUAUUGAAUGAUUCAGGUAUUAGACCAAAAUCUGGUCAUGAAGUGAUGAGUAGACAAGCAGGGGGUAGGCGAUGUCUUAGCUUUGGUCAAAAGGAUUAUAAAAAUUAUCUCCGAUCAAAGCGGAUGCAGUCAAUCCAAGAAGGAGACACAGGUGCCAUUCUUCAAUACCUACAGGACAAGCAAAUGGAAAAUCCUUCAUCUUUAUGCUAUACAAGUAGAGGAAGAUGA